GUGUCAGCCGCCGCGGUAAUACGAAGGGAGCUAGCGUUGUUCGGAAUCACUGGGCGUAAAGCGCACGUAGGCGGGUUUGUCAGUCAGGGGUGAAAUCCCGGAGCUCAACUCCGGAACUGCCCUUGAUACAGCAAGCCUUGAGUCCGGAAGAGGUAGGUGGAAUUCCUAGUGUAGAGGUGAAAUUCGUAGAUAUUAGGAAGAACACCAGUGGCGAAGGCGGCCUACUGGUCCGGCACUGACGCUGAGGUGCGAAAGCGUGGGGAGCAAACAGGAUUAGAAACCCUCGUAGUCC
rnacentral:rRNA from 1 species